GACUUUCUCGAGAGCCCUGGAGAGCGGCUCUAGUGGCUUGGAGCCUGAAACCCCAGGCUUGGCUUGUUUGAUGUUUAGCAUCCCAAAGCGGCACACCACCCCCUCCCCAGCCUGGGAACUUGGAGCUGUGGGUCGGAGAGGGAGGAAAGCAGCCCUCUCAGUCGGCCAGGCCGGGGACUGGACUUGGUUCUGGAAAGGCGAGAAGAGUCGGCCAGAGAUGCUCUGAGCAGGGGAGAAGGGAGACCCGGCUGCCGCGCCCCCCCCCCCCCACCAACAGAGACACUUGUGGGUACAGCUGGAGUUGUCAAGGCCUGGAGGUGGGUGGGGGCAGGGAAUGCUCAGCAGCCGGGCAGGGGCUCUGGGAUAGGGGCUGGCCCUGAGGGAGGUAGCUUGGGGCCCUCGAGUGAAAUCAGACUCAGGCCCGAGGCGACCGCGCGAGAAACGGUCGGGGCACUUACUCCUGGAGGCGGAGGAGGCCCCGCGCGCUCCAGUCCAAGGGCCUCGCAGGAGGCAGGUCUCCUUCCCGCUGUUUAGGACUUGGCCUUACAAAAGGGAAGACUUGCUCGGGAGCCUUCCGAGGAUUUUAAAUCCUCCUGGGUCAGGGGCAGGCCUGGGGCUGGCAUCAAGGUAUCGGGUUUUGAGACCCCAGGGAGGAAUUCUCAUACUGAGGCCACACACUUCUCCGAGCGCGCUCGCCGGCGUAUGCGCGUCGGUGAAGGGCUAUCUCCAGGCGCGAGUGCACAAAAGGUAGCGCGAGUCUCUUCUCAGGCGACUGGAGAUAAGAGGAAAUGAGAGCGGGGUUUUCUGACUUCCAACUCAUUAGGGACCAGGUUGUUUCUUCAGGAUCAGGCACAGAGACUGACUGAAUGGCUCCAAUGAUCAGGAUUUGAAAACCUAAUAUCAGAAUCUGCUGUUUUGUCUGGCUUCAAAUCACUCCUGUGGAAAGGGUCUGAAAAAUUUAGAUUUCGAUUUAGAACACAUGAGCAUGUUAAGGAAGCUAUUGCCAGCA